rnacentral:tRNA from 1 species
GAGAGGUGUUUAGAACACUAA